UGUUCAGGAAGUUCAUUCAUUAAUCCCAGCACAUCUAAGUUGGGGUUUCCCCGAACCUGCUUUUAUUCUGGCAACUCCUAGUCAGUAGUUAAUAGAGAGGGUUUUUCCCACCAUUUGUGCCACAUGAGAGAUAAAUUUUCACCAGGGAAUGGGACCAGGACUGUCCAUUCCAAACACAGAUGCCUUUCCCCUUCUCUUGAGAUUCUGAUCUACUUCCACAGAAUGGCUCAAAGGGUUAGGGAGAGUUGAAAGAACUUGCACGGGGGAUAAUUUUUCUAUAUCUCUUUCACCUGGGAGAUUUUUCAUAAGCCAGCUCAGAGCCUCGCUGCUUGCCAUGCAAUACAGAAAUAACUGGGUAAGUCUCUCAUAAAUUGAAUUGAACUGACCAUGGAUUUGAAGUUACUGCCUUUCCCACUGAGUUAAAACCAAAUAGAGUUGCCUCCCUGGGCCAGACUUUGAUCAGCAACACAGUACUUUCCUCUUCCUGACUUAAAUGCAUCCAGUCCUGAGCACGGGUUUUAUUUAAUGUUCUUGUUCACUUCACUGGAAAUGCUUUAACUCUGGCACCUGCUGGCUGUGAAAGUGAUUAGGAUUUCAUGGGACCAGAGCAUUUCAUUUCUAGUAAGCCACACCACGGCCCAUAAAUUAAUACAGGAUUAUGCUUCUGCAUUUACUCUGCAGGCUUGUUUUGAACUGAAAAGAAAAGGCAAUUGAAGGAUGAAGAAAAAAGAAGAAAAUGAGGAGAUGAAAAGUGAACAGUGCUACGAAACCUGACAGUGUGCAUUAGCAUAAGCACUUUCUUAUGAGGAAACUGAAGAACUUACACCACUACACCAUUGUACUUUGUUAAUGCUCCAUGGCAACAUUUUGUUCCCAUGAGGAGCAGGAUGAAUGGAGCUUUUCUUGAACUCCUGCCAUAUGCCAGGCACUGUAUUAGGCCACGGAGAAGCAAUGGAAGUAAUGAGUCCCACAUCUGCUUCUCCUGCCAUCACGCUCUGCAUCCGUCUGUCGCUGAAAGUUUGAACUCAUAGACCCACGUGCCUACUGGAAAGUUCCACUGGGAUGUCCUGCAAUCAUCCCAGACUCAUCAGGUACAACUCGAACUCGUGAUUCUCAACAAAUGUGUUCCUUCUACUGUGUUUUCUGUCUCAGGCAAUGGCAACAGCAUCCAUCCAGCUAUUCGAGAACUUCAGCACUCCUUUACUCAAACGAAUCAAUCACGGAGUUCACUGUACCUCCAGUAUAUUCCAAAUCUAUCUAUUUCUCGCCAUCCUCGCCAGCGAUUCCUUAGGUUGGCCACCGUUUCCUCCCAUGUAGAUUAUCCCAGCAACUACCUAACUAAUUUUCUUACCCCUAGUCAUGGCUCCUCUCCGAUCCAUUCUCUAAACUCUAGCCAGAGUAAUGUCAUUAUAACCCAAAUGUAAUGCAUCUAAUUUUUUAGUUAUUACGUUGGUUCUAGGAUCCUACUAAUUCUUCAUGUAGUUUGAGAAUGUGACAUGAUGUGGACCUUGCCGACAUCGCUGUAGUGGCUACGGGGAACGUUUACUGGGCCUUGCUAAUAGACUGGGUGGGGUCACCUGCAAGACCUUUCUGUUUAGAUUCUUCUUGGCCUCUCUGUGCAGCUUUCCUUCCUUCUGGGUGUGGGGCGGGACCCUUUCUGGAAUGAGGCUCUUUACAAGGUAGAUCUGAUCAUUUUUUUAUGAUCAGUUUUUACACAGAUAGAGAGGAAGGCAAAUUAGAGCAAUAUGUUUAGGUUUUGUAACUGGCUUUGGGGAAAAGAAAUUCUGGUUUCUGAGAUACACCCUGUGGAUGGCUCUAAGUUGCUGUGACUAGCCUUGGUAGGGAAUGCAGUAAGAGAACAGGAGGGCAGGAGAAGGUCAGAGAAAACAUUUGCUGCUGAGCCUUCCAAUUGAGAGACAGGACUAACCGGAUUUCCUAGGCCGCCUAAGAAUUCCUAAGUCUAGCUGGGAAAGGUCACUGUACCCACUUUUAAACACGGGGCUUGUAACUCAGCUCACACCUGACCAAUCAGGUAGUAAAGACAGCUCACUAAAAUACCAAUUAGGAUAAAAGCAAGAGGUAAAGAAAUAGUCAAUCAUCUAUCACCUGAGAGCACAGGGAGAGAGGAUGAUCGGGAUAUACACUCAGGCAUUGGAUCCCGCGGUGGCAACCCCCUUUGGGUCCCCUCCCCUUGUAUGGGAGCUCUGUUUUCACUCUAUUAAAUCUUGUAACUGCACCCUCUUCUGGUCCGUUGUUCCGGCUCGAGCUGAGCUUUCACUUGCCAUCCACCAUUGCUGAUUGCCGCUGUCACAGAUCCAAGGCUGACUUCCACACAUCAGGUUCCAGCAGGGUGUCCGCUGUGCUCCUGAUCCAGUGAGGUGCCCAUCACGGCUCCGGAUCGGGCUAGAGGCUCCCCAUUGUUCCUGUGCGGCUAAGUGCCUGGGUUCGUCCUAAUCCUGCUGAACACAAGUCACUGAAUUCCACGGUUCUCUUGCGUGACCCACGGCUUCUAAUAGAGCUCCAACACUCACCUCAUGGCCCAAGGUUCCAUUCCUUGGAAUCCAUGAGGCCAAGAACCCCAGGUCAGAGAACAAAAAGCUUGCAGCAUCUUGGGAGCAGCCACCACCAUCUUGAGAGCUCUAAGAACAAAGACCCGCCGGUAACACAAUUUUGGUACUGUUUUCUGAGCCCCAACAUCACCAACCCCAUUUUUUCACAACUCGCCACUCCUCACACUCUACCUCCAACCACAACCCCUUCUUUGCCGGGAUGACUCCUGAAUACCCUCCACCUUCUACUUAAACAUCAUCGCAUCUUACAAGGAGCUUUUGCCGACUCCCUUAAUCCUGAUCAGGUAUCUUUCAUUAGUUCUCCAUCAGCACCUGUUCACCCCCAUCAUAACGUUCAUCACACUAACUUACUAUUGCCUGUGAUUGUCCUUUCUAGGUGCUAAGACAGAGAACUAUCUCUGUGUUAAGUGUUGUCUCCCCAGUUCUGAGUAUAAUGCAUUCACCUUUAGUGGGAAAUCCAUAGAUAUUUGCUUAUAAAAGAAGAAAGAAAAGAAACAAUGAAACUCUGGUGAAGCAAUGUUGGAACUGGUCAUAAGGGAAUUUUGCAAAACAUGUAGUAGCUAAGACUGUUGACAAGGGUGGUUCAAAGUUUAAAGGGCAGGAGAUGGCAGGCUUAUUUACUAUUCAUAUUUGUAAGCAAAUAUCAAAAAUUGCUUUCCUGAGCUUGAAGUUACGGGUAGCAUUAAUUACAUUAAACCUUCAUAACAAAAACAUAUUUAUUAGUGACAAAAAUGUGGUAUCUGUUUAUAUUGGUGUAUGACAAUUAAGUAGUACGAUGUGACAGGCUAUGAAUUAGUCUGCAAUCACUCAUGCCUCAGGUGUUUUCCACAAGUGUGAUAAUAGGUUACCAUCUUGAUGGGAGACAGGAAACUGAACCCAGCGUAGAAAAUAUUAAAUUCAAGUUUCCUUGUAAAAACCAUUUUCCUAGAUGUUAUUUCCCCUCUAAAUGCUUUAGUAUAAAAGUAGAAAAUCAAAAAUAAAGGAAUUUGAAUUUUCUAUUUUAUUUAACUUCUGGACUUUUUUGAAAAUCCGUCUUGGAAUCCAAGGACAGUCCCCUUUCCUCCGCUGGGUAGGAGGCGGCAAGCACUGGGAUGGAGCAGGGUGAGAGCCUUUCCCUGUGCCUAGCUGGUUGCCAAUCUCACCACCCCACCACAGUUUUCUGCCAUCUUGAAGAAAGGAAUUGCUUCAUACAAUGGCUGUUGGCCUAGUGGAUAUUUAGACAUUGUCUCUCCCAGGAGAGAUGAUCCUUCAGUUUUUGGAAUAUCAUGCACAACAUCUUGGUAAGGUUGGUAGAUGCUCCUAAGUCAGAGACUUCCUGGAAAGAAACAAGGAAAGAGACAGAGAGAGAAAAAGAGAGAGAGAGAUCACGUGUGAGCGGGAGGGAAACAAGCAGAAAGAGAGGGAUACCUUGUGAAAAUUGUCCUUGGCAAAAUAGCUUCAAAGAUCCACUUUCUGAUAUGACAUAAAUAAGAACAAUGCAUUUAUCAAGUCAGCUUUAAUUUUUUUGGUCUUACAAGCAGGUGAAUUUCUAAAAUCAGCAUAUGUGUUUCUGCCCAAUGCUUAGGAAUCUGCUUCAGGGCAUAAGGAAGAUGGGGUGUGUGAAUACCAGUGUGUUAAGAUUUACCUGGGUCUAUUUUGCUUUCUGAUUAACUUUGUGGCCAGGUGACAUCAUUUUCUACAAGUAUUAUGGAAAUCAUUGUCCUUUCUUGCAUUUAGAAUUACUUUUGUGAAACUUUUGGUCUGUUAGACCAAAGUACUAGUUUUACACUUUAACUCAGCUGAAUGUUUUGGGCCGUAUCCCCUUAUGCACGUAUCAUAUCCCUACACGGAGGUUGGGGCAAAGGGAUUGUCCCAUCUUUCUUUCCUACAGCUUCCAUUCAAGUUAGCUAUGAAAGCACAUUAUGCCACUGAAUACCAGAUGUGGCAGAUUCUUAUGGCUUUGUGAAUAGAUUUGCCAUUUUUGUUUGGGUUGCUGAGUCAGGAAAUUGACAUUCUACUGUUGUGCUUUUAAAAGUAUUUGCUGCGACUUCAAUUUUUUUUCUCUGACAGUUGAAGCAGAAAGGUGGAUUAGCUUUCUUGAUUCCAAUUAUCUUCCCUGUAGUAUAUUGCUGAUAUGCUCCUGUGUCAGAUAAGUUAUGUGAAGUAGAAGAAAAUGUCACCUGGUAAAUGUGACACUGUUUGAGGGAAAGCUUGAAAGGUAUUUUUUGUCAUUGAUGGGUCUCCAAGAACUUUUUAAAAAGACAGGUGGAAAUCUUUUGAAAUAUUUGAAUUGGGGUUUUUUUUCCUGCCAAAUUUGCUGAAAGAUUACCAUGCAAAUGUCAAAUUUUGUUUUUAGAAAAGAUAUAAAUUGAGAUAGUCAGAGUAGCGUUCUACUUGAUUUCAUUCCGCAUGUCAGAAAAGGAAAAUCUGAAGGAAAAACAUUUAAAAGCAGCCCAAGAUGGUUACAGGUUGGACAUAUGGUAAUGGAAACGAUGCCCGUGAACUAGAGCUGAACCUUUGUCUAUAAGGCUUAAGGCUGUCCAAUAUUUCACUGACCUGUACUGAUUAAAACCUUGCCUAGCAGAUGAUUCACAAGGGCACAGCAGAACAGGUCAUUCCUCUCUGGCCCUAAGAUGCCCACAUGUUCUUAAACCUUUUACCCUCUAUGCCUUAACCACAUAUUGGCUGUAUCUCAUGUAUAAGGUCACUGAGCAACAAACAGAAUUGUAAGAUCGUCGCCUUUGCUUCACUGCCCCCUUCUCCCAUUCCUAUGUAAGAGGAGUGUAUAAAUACUGUGCCUCGUGUAGCCCACUUGGGGACACAUUGUCGUUUUGCUCUGACUUUGUGUUUCCCAGGCUAUCUUCCUCAAACUUGGCUCAGAAUAAAGCUCACUUUAAAUUUCUUUAAGUUAUAGUGCUUGUUAUUUAACUUUUCAGUUGACACAUUUGAGAGUUAGAUUGAAAGGUGUUCUUUGUGGCACUUGAAUUUUCUUGUUUUUUUUUUUCAGAUUGUCAGACAGUAGGUCCUAUCUCAGACCAGGCUUUCACUGCUACAGAGAGAGAAAGAUCUGAGACAAUGACUGUAUCAUAACUAGUGAUGCAAUGUGUGUCUGUGUGCUUCUGUGCUUUAAGAUUUCUUUUUGUGUUUCUGAAACUGCCUUGGCAAAAAUUUUAACUGAGGAAAUUAUGACUGACAGUGAAAGAAAUCAGACCUAACUGCCUCCAUCUUGCUUCUAACCUUUAA